GGUUGUGGCUCAGUGGUAGAGCUCUCUCCUAGCAUGUGUGAGGCCCUGGGUUUGAUCCUCAGCACCA
rnacentral:tRNA from 1 species